UGUCUGGAUAUAGUGUUAUUUCCUAAGAAAUGACAAGAUGAAAUACACGCUUUAAAGAAAACAUAAAGGAUCUGCUACAGCAAACCAAUUUUGCUUGAAGAAAGAAAACACAGCAACAGAUGUCCCCAGCUGUCGCUAGCUCCCCAGGACUCUCUCUUACAUUCCCACCAUGAGGGCCCCUAGUGUGAGACCUCACCCAGACCAUCUGCCUAAACCUGGGGCCCACCAAGUACUGAGGGGACUUUAAGAAGUGUCACUUUUGCCCUGAGCCCAGUUUUGGCUCAGUGGAUAGAGCGUCGGCCUGGGGACUGAAAGGUCC